GAUAAACGCUGGCGGCGUGCCUAACACAUGCAAGUCGAACGCCCUGGAGCAAUUCAGGGAGUGGCGGACGGGUGAGGAACACGUGGGUGAUCUACCUUGAGGUGAGGAAUACCGGCGAGAAAUCGCCGACAAUACCGCAUACGUUCGUAAGAACAAAGUCGCAAGACGCCUGAAGAUGAGCCUGCGUCCGAUUAGCCAGUUGGUGGGGUAAUGGCCUACCAAAGCAGCGAUCGGUAGCUGGUCUGAGAGGACGAUCAGCCACACUGGGAUUGAGAACGGCCCAGACUCCUACGGGGGCGG
rnacentral:rRNA from 1 species